AUUGAACGCUGGCGGCAGGCUUAACACAUGCAAGUCGAGCGGGGUGAUGGUGCUUGCACUAUCACUUAGCGGCGGACGGGUGAGUAAUGCUUAGGAAUCUGCCUAUUAGUGGGGGACAACAUCUCGAAAGGGAUGCUAAUACCGCAUACGUCCUACGGGAGAAAGCAGGGGAUCACUUGUGACCUUGCGCUAAUAGAUGAGCCUAAGUCGGAUUAGCUAGUUGGUGGGGGAAAGGCCUACCAAGGCGACGAUCUGUAGCGGGUCUGAGAGGAUGAUCCGCCACACUGGGACUGAGACACGGCCCAGACUCCUACGGGAGGCAGCAGUGGGGAAUAUUGGACAAUGGGGGGAACCCUGAUCCAGCCAUGCCGCGUGCGUGAAGAUGGCCUUAUGGUUGUAAAGCACUUUAAGCGAGGAGGAGGCUCUUUCGGUUAAUACCCAAGAUGAGUGGACGUUACUCGCAGAAUAAGCACCGGCUAACUCUGUGCCAGCCGCCGCGGUAA
rnacentral:rRNA from 1 species